AUUAAGUUCCCCGCCUGGGGAGUACGGCCGCAAGGCUAAAACUCAAAGGAAUUGACGGGGACCCGCACAAGCGGCGGAGCAUGCGGAUUAAUUCGAUGCAACGCGAAGAACCUUACCAAGGCUUGACAUAUACGAGAACGGGCCAGAAAUGGUCAACUCUUUGGACAAUCGUAAACAGGUGGUUGCAUGGCUGUCGUCAGCUCGUGCCGUGAGAUGUUGGGUUAAGUCCCGCAACGAGCGCAACCCUCGUUCUAUGUUGCCAGCACGUUAUGGUGGGGACUCAUGGGAUACUGCCGGGGUCAACUCGGAGGAAGGUGGGGAUGACGUCAAAUCAUCAUGCCCCUUAUGUCUUGGGCUUCACGCAUGCUACAAUGGCCGGUACAAAGGGCUGCAAUACCGUAAGGUGGAGCGAAUCCCAAAAAGCCGGUC
rnacentral:rRNA from 1 species